GCCCGUAGAGGUCAACUCCCCUCACCCUUUCGGCUCUCCUGAUCGCCCUCCCUCCGCCCGGCCCAGGCUCCGCCAGCCUCCCGACUCGGGCCGCAGUCUGAGGAGUGCGCCUCCGCUGCGCUGCUCUGAACCUUAACCCCGAGCCGGGCCCAGACCCGAGGUCCGCGCACCCCGGCGGUGGGGAAGCCUUAGCGAGCAGCCUUUUCUCUGCAGCAAAGCUGUAGGAAGACCAGAUGGGCCGCGCAGCUCUCUCGGGACUAGGCAGGUUCUGUAUAACUGCCUCUUCUUGGACAUCUUAGGAGGAGGACUGUCUGGAUCAGUGAUGAAGAUAGGAAAAUACAUGUAUAAUAAUUCUAUAUUGCCUAAAUAUUUUCACUAGUCAUUUUUAAGUUAAAAUUUUCUGUAUACAAAAUUAAAUAUAUAUAGAUGUAUGCAUUCAAAAAAUAUAUAUUUAUAAUGUCUCAGUAAACUUUUAGUCCCCUUCCUGAAGCUGUAAGUUAGAGGCAUCUUUUACAAAGAAGAAUGUGACUGGCUGGACCUCAACAACCUCUGUGUUGCAGACUCUACUUCCUUUUCCUUGAAAAGCUCCAGAAAAACCCUCUGUCCUGGAGAGACCAGUCCUGAUUCUCCCUUAACUGAGAACAGCUUUACUGGCAGAGGUGUCUCAUCACAUGGUCUCUCUCUGUAUUCCCUAAUUUGAGUGGAAUGUUGAGUGCAUGAACAGUACCCCUGUACUUAUAGGAACCAGAGGAAAAUAAGAAUGAUAGUAAGAUGAAAUUAACCACCAUCCACUUUAUUCAAUCCAUUCAGCAACACAUAAGCACCAGGAUUAUAGCAAUUGGCAUAUUAGAGAGUAUUCUGAAAAGUUGUCAGGAGGUACUGUGUAACAGAGCUUUCUUUUCUGCUCUUCUCAUCAUAUUGAUUAUGUUUCACGUCAUAAAACAAAUCCCCAAACUCUGCCCAGAGGCUGCCUGCUAUGCUAAUGGAGAGGAUGCCAGGCAAAGAUGCUGAGGGUGCAGAUGUCUCUCUGCUGGGCUUUGCACAUGACACUGGAUGGCCCUUAAAUGAGGUUAGUUAAUUGGCAAAGGGCAGAGAAGAGGCCACCAUUUCUUGAGUACUUGCCUCUAUGCUGGGAGCUGUACCAGGGGCUAAAAGUUUGCUGUGGCUGGAGAGACUGAGGACUUGGCAUUCUGCAUUGGAGGAAGAAACACAGAAAUAGAAAAAAGAGAGCUCACCUGAGAAAGACGAGGAAGAGAAGCUACCAACAACACUACCAACAACAAUCUAACAAAGUUCAAAAAUGGCAUUCCUUCUGCCAAGUCUCGUUCUUCCUGGAGCUUAACCAACCCUUGCCUGCUUGGCUUGCCUUGGAUUCCAUACUUCCAAAACCCCUCGGUAAAGCCACCCCAUCAGUCACUUCUACUUAAAAUGCCUCAUCCUUGUGGUUCAUAAGAGUGCCCCCAUGGCUAUGUUCUAGAUUAUUCUAUAGCAAUCUUGAUAACUCUAUUGUGAUAGCAAUCAAAUUUAAUUUUAAAUCCUGUCAUCCUAGAUUUUGGAAAUUUUUGGUGCCACCUUCUGAGAGGCCAUCUAGAAGUUAGGGUUCAGAUAAGUGCUUAAUGCCUUGGUUUUUUUUAAUGUGUUCCUUUUAUUUUUUUAUUUUUAAAACGUGUUCCUUUUAAACAAGUGGCAAAAUAGCUUUUGCAUAUUCUCUUAAGAUAAGAAAGAUGUCUUAGUUUCCUAGUUUUUAUGGGGAGGUGAUUUUACAAAUAAAACAUGCUAUGUCUUUGUAUCUAUUAAAAAAAAAGUUUCCCCUUUCCUUGACUUAAUCUCGGCUUCUCAAGAGUGACUCUACUGACCCUUGGACUGGAUAUUGCUUCGUUGCCAUUGGGAAGAGAGGCUCCAUCCGAUGCCUUGUAGGACACUCAGCAGAAUCCCAUACCUAGUAUAUUGUAGUUGUUUGAUAAAUGUUAAAUUGAGUGAAUUCUAAUAAAUGAAAUAAUGCUAUGAAGCAUUUGUCAC
ensembl:lncRNA